rnacentral:rRNA from 1 species
UACGAAGGGGGCUAGCGUUGCUCGGAAUCACUGGGCGUAAAGGGUGCGUAGGCGGCGCGGUAAGUCGGGUGUGAAAUCUCGGAGCUUAACUCCGAAACUGCAUUCGAUACUGCCGUGCUUGAGGACUGGAGAGGAGACUGGAAUUUACGGUGUAGCGGUGAAAUGCGCAGAUAUCGGGAGGAACACCCGUAGCGAAGGCGGCACUCUGGGCCGGUACUGACGCUGAGGAGCGAAAGCGUGGGGAGCGAACAGG